ACUGAGAGUUCAUCCAGACGCUUGUCACGAAGCGACAGCCGAGCAGGCACCUUGAAGAGGAGGAGCGACAGUCAGGUAGGAGCUGUUAAAGGGCUGUUCCUGCGAAAAAUGAUGUGUGUAUUGAGAUUAUGUACUUUUAAACACUUAGACCACUGUGAUUCAGAGACACGCACUUGAUGAACAACACAAUAUCUGCCAGAAUGUAACGGGCAACCUUAACUUACAUUCAGUACAUUUGCUUACAUAAAAUAUGAACACAUGACAAUGUUUCCCUAAAUCUUGUGACCUGACUUUCGGUUGUAUUGCCACAACAGACAUGCUUAUCUGACCUCAAGGCUGUUGUGAAACCCAUUUAGAUGGGGUCACGUUUCUGUCACCACAUAUGUGGUGAAGGCAGUUCAAUGUAACCUUCUCCCUGUGUGUUUGCUUGUUUCUCAAUUUGGGAAAUUGUUGAAACUCAACACAGUGUAACUUCUAUCUCACCUCUAUUUUCCCUACUUUUAUUCAUCACAACAGCUGCAAUUCUGUAAUUAUCAACAUAUUUUCUUUAUUUCUUCAGUUUGACCCAGAUCUUGUCAUGGGACUCCCAGAAAUGGUGAGUAUUUCUGUCAUUCCUUCUUGUUAUUGUCACUAGGAAUAAAAUUAUGGUUUAUACUGUCCAGUUUAUAGUAUUAGUUGCAAUGAUAAACAUUUCUUUACAUAUGGAGGGAUUGUCCUGGCUCCAAAUGAGUCCUCCCACUGAUGGUUGCCUCUGAGAGCUCACUAAUCUCUUACCCACCCACUAUUGGCAGACAUAAAUUCCUCUGAUGUUGCCCACACUGAUUUGCAAUUGCUUUGUGUUUGUGGCUCAGUUGGAGCUGCAGGCCAGCUAUGAUGAGGUGGUGCAGGAGCUGCGUGGGCUUGAGGUCGAACGAGAGACUCUGUUAUUCCAGGUGGACGUCCUACAGGACACACUGGAGGGUGUAGAGGAGCUGCUGGCUGAGGCCCAGAGGGAAGCUGGAGAGGCAAACAUGAAGCUGGAACAAGAGCGAGAGGCCAAAAAGAAGCUGGAGCGCAUGGUCUCCUCAUUGAUGCAAGAGGUGGAGAAGUUAAAAGAGGAAAGAAAUAACAAACCGGUCAACACACAUGAUGAUGCACGACAAGGAUACUCAAUGACAAAUGAACCGAUUCAAGCUACACAGAGGGACGAGCCAAGUUCCUCUGUGCUGGAUUCUCAUAGCAGCCGUAGAGCACCCGAGGGGGGGGAGCCGGGUGUAUCGACCGACAAUGAGGGAAGCAUCUUGACGAAGCUGCGGAAGGUGGUCACUAAGCCCUUUGGUCACGUGCCUUCUCUUGCACUUGAUAACCCAACUGCUGAAGACGGUGUCCUCCAGAGGCCUUAUGAACAUCCCAUCAAUAAUCGACGAGAUCCUUCCCCUGACAGGAACGACUCCGACAGUAUAAGUGCCUACGAAGACGCCUCUGCUGAGACUCCAGAGAAGGACAGGGUGUUCCCAGGAGAAGGAGACACUUUGGAGCUGCCUGAUGAUUCUGAGGAUGCAGCCGACAGUUCCUUGGUCAACGAGAGCAAGAGCGACAACCCCAAAAACCCUGAGGCCUGCGUGGUGUCUUAACUUAGCUGUUUCAUCUUCGUUUUUACAUUUUACACGCGUAAUAUUUAUGUUGUUAGACGUUUUUGGGCAUAUCAUUUCCCAGAGCCGCAGUGAUUAGUCGGUGAUGAAGAGAAACUAGCCUGCAACUAUUCUGAUAGUCAAAAAGCCGAGAUGCCAAACGUUUUGUGGUUUCAGCUUUUCAGAUGAAAAGCUUUGCUGCUUUUAUGUCAUAUAUGGUAGUAAGAUAUAUAAAUCUGCUGAUUUGUUAGUAUUUUACCGUCUUAAUUGUGUUUAGCUCUUUGGAUUAAUUAAAAAUAAUAGACUGAUUAAUAUACCUGUUAGUCGCAGCCCUGGUUGUAAUGCACUGUAGUAAAGUUUAGACUUACGACACAUGGAACUCAGGAUCCAGGAGGUGGUGGGAACUCCACUGAUUAAUACUUUAUAUUUUUUGCCAAACUUUUUGUUUUAAUAUCUGUCUUAGUCUGAAACAUGGAACAUGCUCCAUGUUGCAUUGACUGUUUACCUCUUCAGUGACCUUUUAAGACAGUGGGACCACCGCUGUUUUCAGUCACAUCGUAUCUACUCCUUUUAGAUAAACAGAAACUUUGAGAGGAACAUUUCAAGCACUUAGUGCUUAACUGUUACAGCUUUUCAAAAUGGGAAGAUUACAUUAUGUACAUUAGGGAAAAAAUGCAACAAGUGAUGCAUUCAGCUGGUGGCUACAGAAGGUACAGUAGUAGUAUUAGCCACACGCGUUAAACCUGUUAACAGGUAAUGAUCCAGUGCCACGUCUUACUGUUUCAUUGGUCGUUGCAGUUGAACGCACAACACUUAUUUUUGUUCAUUGGCUCGUUGUAGCUUCUGUUUUUUCUAUGUUGCCUUAUUGAAGUAAUUUUGAUGAAGAGCUACACUGGAAAAUGUUUGAUAGUUACUUUCCCCACUGUCCUGUUGAAUUGCUUUGAGAUGUAAAGCUCAUUUCAUCUUUGACAAGGGUCACUAAAAUGAUAUUUGUAAUGGAGGUAGUUAUUUAGGUAGAAUUUAUGCUGUAGAAGGGAAAUGCGUAUCUAAAUGGAUUUACUGCCUUGCUGAUCUGCAUAAGAACAUUUAUUUUUCUAUCUUUUAUACAGCCCCCUUUUUCCUGUCUCCUGUCCAAAUGUAGGGAAAUGGAUUUGGCACCAUUUGCACUUUUUUUAAAAGUUCUUGUACUAUGGCAUAAAUUUGUCGGGCGACGUCAGAAACCACAUUCCCUUUACGACCAAACGCACCAGUGAGGUGUGAACAACUCACCUGCUGCAGGCUGUACUCUCUGUCCGCAUGGUAAAACCGUGUGCUCGCACAUCUGCAGUUAAACGUGUUGAAUCUCUUUAGACGUCUCUGGUUGCGGUAUAGAUUUUGUAACAGUCACAUGUUGAUGUUUUUGUAAGAUUACAUAUCUGUUUUCACCGAGUGAGACAAGAGUUGGACUCUUUCCCCUCAUUUGUGAGAAACAGCCUGCAUGAGCACCUAUGAAUGUAAAGUAAUUUCCAAACUGCACAUGAAUUAAUCUUUGUCAUUUCUGAGUACCUUUGCAUGCGAUACUCAUCACAGAUAAGAAUAUUAGGUUUUGAUCAAAGCUAGUUACUGCAUAGGCUGGAGUUUUAAAGGGAUUUCACAUCAUCGUCCCAGUUUUAAUGUGGAACUUUAUAAUAUGUAACUUGAAAAUAUAGUGUAACAAAAAUCACAGUCACUGUUUCUGCAGCUUUAGAAAUAGAUUUUAAUAUGAUUAUGGGAAUUUGAAGGUGCUGCAUUUUUUAUUGUGGUUUCAAAGCAGCAUGUUAAAUUUUAAUUCAUCAUUUGUCUUUUAUAUUAUAUUAUUGAUAUAUAUAAUGCUGGUUCACACAGUACUUGACUCUCCUGGCAGCCAUGACGCGCAGAUUAUUGACAGGACAGUGCUCAGAUGCUGUUUUCAGUGAGGCUACUGUUACUGUCAGGUCAUAAACAUCAGCUCAGACGCUUCCGAGCAGCGUCCACAGUUGUUGCUGUUAAUCUUGUUUUCAUCCCAUGUAAUUCCAAUUUCCUGACAGUUUGUUUGGUUUCGGUAAAGUUUUUCCAGACUCCAGUCAUACUGUUUUUAGCAUCUGUCUCACAGCGUCUGCGAGACUUCCUCUCUGACGCACGCAGCAGUGAUGUUCAGAAAUGAACCCACUUUUUUUCAUUUUUUUCACAGUGCAAAAAAAGUGUUCCUGCUGUAUUUUGAUGCAUUACAUUGGUCUUAUUCCAUUUCAUGUAUCUGACCUGAUCUGAACGUUGAAUCAAACAGGAAAAUGCAUUGUACUACUAAUAUAACAUUCCAGACACAUAUACAAAAUAAAAGUUGUGAAAAAUUAUUUUUUUGUAUUUGA
ensembl:lncRNA leucine-rich repeat flightless-interacting protein 1-like